GUCUCUCUUCCUUUAGACCAAGCACGGGUACGGAGUAGAUGGAGUUAAACACCUUUUAAGUUGACAGAACGAGGAGACAAAUGAUCAGAAGUCCAUUCACUGUUUCGCCGCUCAUGAGGGGGAGAGCCUCUGCAGCAAGUCCCGCGACCUGCUCUUGCCAGAUGCUUCGGACAGACUCUCGCCGUUCUACUGAAAACGGCUGAUUUUUAUUGAAGAUUACAGGAAUGUUACAUACGCAGUUUGCCAUGUACAUACGUCAAUGAUCAUGACAGGUGAAAAUAACAGCCUUGUUAGCGGACAGUUUAAUACAUCAAUAGAACAUACAUCCUUGAGAUUACCAGGAACAUCCUGAUAUAUUCAUGACAGGAGAAGAUACAUUCACUGGUACCGAGAGGCACUGAGUGGAGAUGGAAUGUGCACACUCCUUUCUCUUGUGCAGGAGAAGAUACACGGCUAUUAAUCUUUGUGUGAAGGCCUUGAGUAUCUGAGCGAGUUUCCAUAGCAUAGAUAAUAAAAUGAGCUUAUAAGGUAAAUAUAUAUAUAUAUUGCCUUGUUAGGCAGGAUCUAACAUGUCACAAGAACUUGUAAUUCUUAAGAUAAGCAGAAACAUCCUUGGUAACCUGGUACAAGAAGAGACUGCAAUGUCUCACUCCCUUUUGGAGUUCCUGCAGCUGUUUUAAGAGCUUGUGCAGGAGAGAAACACAGAGAGACCUUUAUAUUAUAACAUGAUCCCAUAAUGAAAAGAGUAGCAUGUAAGAAUGAAUAAUAAAAGAGCUUAUAUGAGAGUUACAUAUAUUUUCAAUCCCCCUUUUGAACUCUUUUAAGAGUUCAAUAAAGAUAUAAGAAAUCAAAACAAUAACACCAAAUUCCAUCAAAAAGAAUCCAAUAAGCAAAGUUUUAAAAUACCAAUACAUACAACCAAUCAGAUUACAUUUACUCAUCUUUCUAGCAGUAAACUAAUACAAAAAACAUGAUCAUACUUUCAACUGAACAUGUUACAACAUGUAUGGAUCGCAUGCAACUCCAUAUGAGGGCGAAAAACCCUAAUUAUCAUAUGUUUAUAGGGAAAAUUCCCCCAUGUCCCCCCAUUUGUCAUAUCUCAAUUUUGGGGCGAACGCCUGUUGGCAUAGAGUGUGCAUGCCUAGGACAUCAAUGAUCAAAAGAAAUAAAAACAACACAAUCAAAAAACUCAUAGAAAUAAACAGUUUAAGGGAUUGUUACAGAAAUCACUCAAUAUUCUCACACUCUAACAACAUCUUCUUCAUCAUGAGAGUCAUCACUUUCAUCAGAGGGUUCCCCUCCCAAAUAGAUUUUAGGAUUGGCUAGUAACAAGGGCAUCUGGAUAAUUGGGUCAGCAGGUGGAGGAGAGAUGGCAGUGGUGAUCAAUAUGUGCAUUCAGAAUUGAGUUUGGAAAUGCAAUGAGUGUAAACAUAUAUCUAAUACUAAACAGGUAAAUGAAUAAUAAUAUAAAAUGAGUAGUGGGUAUAAAAUAUAAUCCUUGUAAAAUAAAUGAGGGUGUUAAAUAGAACCCUUGUAGAAUGUUCAUAGGGUGGUUACUUCUUCCCCCUGUUGAGGUCCUUUCACUGGCUCCAGGCAGCUGCAGGGGGUGAUGAUGUCAAGAUUCUCGUCCUGCAGGAUGUGGUGGCAGCUUGGCAUGCUACUGUAGUCAGCUACUUCUCUUCCUGGUUUUUUGGAUCCUUUCUCUGGUUAGGCAGAUGUCAGCUGCUUCUCUUCCAGGUUAGGCUCCUCCCGUCCAGCCGGACAGCGUGUGACGUCCUCUCCGUGAUCCUGUAUGGCUCGGUCCACCUCGGUUCCGUCCACUUCCUUUUGGUGACUUUUAGCAGGACCCAGACGCCUGGCACCGAAGACGAAGCCUCUUCGUGUGUGUAGUUUUGGUCCAAUGAAGGCUUUCUCGGCUUGUGCAGUCCUUGAUCUCGGCAGAUAGUUGGUAGGAAGAUUCACACUCCGGCCGGACCAGAAGUUCCCCGAACCGAUCGCCUAGGGAUUAAAGGUUAUGCACAAAAAUGUCCUAGCUCUUACUGGCCCUAGCCUCUGAUACCUUCAACAUCAGACACAUACAGUUACGAACAGCAAGCGCAAUUAAAGGUACAGUGACAUCACGACAUGGACACACACAGACACACAAACACAUACACAUGCACAUACACACACAGAGAGAGGGAGAGAGUAAGAAUGUGUGUGGGAGAAAGAAAUGAGUGGGAUCCACUUUGCCACCAGCAUCUCCACCUGUGUCACAGGGAAAAAAUUACAAAGAAAUUAAAACAUAAAGCAAACAACAAUAAUUCAAUGAGUAUAAAUGAUCAAACUAAAAUAUACAACCAUGCAUGGGUUUUAUAACAGUUCCGGCAACACUGGAGAGGAAGCCUUGUAUAAUGAAUUCUUAAGAUGUCCUUCAUCAAUUAGAGGUUAUAGCCAAAUUGUUUCAGGAUCCUGAAUUUGAAUUGGUCAAUUUACUCAGAAUAGCCCAAUGGCUUUGUUGAUGUUUCUCAAGGCUCAGCCACGCCCAUAUAGAUAAAUAAACAAACAAACAAGACAAACACAGUCAAACACACGGUCCAUACACGUCUCUGUGCCCUCACACACCAAGCAAAUGUCAGACUGAAGCGAAAGUGUGAAAACACUUAACCUAACGCUAAAUCAGUGGAAAGAAAAAAACAAGACCUAAAGCGUGUAAUCAAAUUAAUCCAACAAAACUUCCCAUAACUGCCGUUCUAAACUCAUGUUGCGGUGUGAUCUCUCCAAUUAGAAAUUAGGACAACCACUUUUACUAUCAAUUCAACCAAAUAGUUUCAGGUUGUCCCUUACCUAAACUACUUGUCUUUCUUACCUUCUUUAUUUUAUUAUUUUUUUAAGAACCUCACUUAGCACAAGAAAUCCUAAGAAUUAAUUCACUACUUAAGGUUAAUUCAUAAAUAACGAAACUGCAGUUACAGGUUUGUUUGUGCAUAGUAUUGGUAAUCAGCAGUUUUUUUUUCCUUAUCUCCUCAUCUAGAAGUGUUUCUGUGCUACUCCUCCAUCUAUAACACAAGUUAGUAUCAUCCUUAAAGCAUCUGAAAUUAAGCUGCAUUGCUAAAUCAAUAACGUGAUUUGUGCUAAGAAAUACUCCCCUAUCCUCUUCCUUUUUCCAGUGGCGCUGAAUGACAGAUUUUAGAUCAAUUUAACGUUUUAUCACUAUUACGUUUCAUUUAAUUAAUUUUGCUUUUUCUCUCUUAUUUUUGUCUAUUUAUUUAUUUAUGUUAUUUACUUAUUUAUCAUGCCAUCCUGUGAUGAUAAUCUUAAAGACUUUUUAGCCAAUUGUCGUCAAAAAGGCCAUUUAAAAAUAUUAUGUUAAAGAUUUCACAAGAUUAAAAUGUGAACAUAAUUUUUAUCGAAUGAGGGGUACAAUUAUUCAAUAUUUUUGUGACAUUAUUUUCUACGUUAGAACUUACAGCUGAUAGAAAAAUAUAGGAUCAGCUAGGUUUGGCUAGAUCUGUUGGGAAACUCAACGGAGCUGAAACAACACUGUUGUCUCGGAUGAGAUGUUCCAUGAAUCAUUUAGUCAGCUGGAUGCCAAAUUAUUCAUUUAAUGUUUAUUUUUAUGCAAUGAAUGGAAUGGGAUGGAACGUUACUAUAAACUAUCCGGAAAUUUGCGCAUGUUUGCUCGAAGGAGAGAACUGUUGAAGCCUAAAGCGUUCUCCUAGACUUAUAAAUAGACACCGUUUCCUUAACCAAUGAAAAUAAGUGAUGACGCUGAUGUAUUCCGUUUUGAAAAGAAAAUAAGGCUUUACUGCAUGUCCGCUGCAGCUGAGAAUCCUAGGACAAUAAAGAUUAUAUUGACGUCCAAUGGUGAGUUGGGCUGAAAUCCAGGUUACUAAUCCUAUUAUUUAUUUAUUUAUUGAUAUUAUUAUUAUCUUUUUUUAGGCUAACUUUCUCAGUUAACUAUGUUCUACAGUAGUUUAGUAAAUUUUCCACAGUUCUGACAUUUCAUCAAUUCAACUGGUUGUUGCCAAAAAGCCUUGUUCAUUACCUGACUGCAGCAAGCACUCUUUUACUGGGUGUAACCAUAGGAAACAGUCUCUUUUGAGCCUCUCUUUGUAAGUCCAGGAUGACCACCGUCAUUGAUUAAAGUUCACAUGUUAGCACACAUGCUCCCCCUUUUGUACUUUGUUUCAUCAGCAGCAGGGCAAAUAAGUUUCUGCCUCUUUGUCCAUCUUGUAGUGCUCCCCGUCUUGAUGUUAUAAGUCACAGUUUUUGGUGAGGGCUUCCAGGUUCUCUUUGUAUAGAAGUCAGACCCAAACAUUCUUUGCAGCUGGUUGUGACAGGCCCACCCAGUAAAGUUCAUGCCCGCCACAAUGCACAGCAAACGUUUUCCUUAAAUAUGUUGAUUGAGUUGAAAUGACAGAACUUUCUCUUUUACAAAUCAAAAUCAACGAUGGUUUCUAAUAUUUAGUCGACUUUAUUGACUCAAAAAUAAAUCUGAACUACUUCCUAUGCACAAUUUGUUCUGAAUCAUCAAAUCAGUUCUACACAGGUUUUAAACAUUAAGCACAAUCUAUCCCAAAUGCAAGAUCCCUCCUUUCAUUUUUUAUUUAUCUAUUUUAUUUUGGGAAAAUAACUACCAGUUUUUAACUCAAAACAGCCUAGUACAGUUUCUAGCCAGGUUACAGGAAAUAAUACUUAGUUUAUCUGUUUUUUCAUUAUUCAGCGUCCCAAAAUCCAGCCAUUAACGUUAAUGGUUCUUAAAGUUGAGGCAAGACAAUUAUUGGAUUUUGUUUUAUAGCAAGAUUUAACAAAUAUUUUAUUUCCUUACUGAUUAUUUGUUAAUUUUAUGGUUUUCAUAAAGAUGAUCCUGAGAGGUUCAGAGCUGCUUUUCGCAGCACCCUGUGCUAUUUUUAGACUGCGGAACUCCUGUGUGUAAAAGUGGGUGGAGUCAGGUCCCCAGGCUGAAACUCCAGUCAUUCUCACUAGAUCUGUCCGAGAGGAAGGAUCUCCUGAAUACCCUAACCAGAAGCCUUAAGUCUCUCGAACUAAAUAACCGUCUAGUAAAAACAUGGACCGCACCCUGUUUCUCAAGCAGCUGCUCCCUCUAUUAAAAACUGAAUCAUUCAGAAGAUCCAGCGAAAGCAGCUCAUGCAAGAAGACACACAUUCACUCAUUCACAAGGCACAGAGACAUUCUUUGUUUGUCACAGUCUCUUUUUAUUAUUAUUAUUAUUUUUUUAAGGUAAGUCAGUUCGUCACUUAUUUAUUCUCUCUCUAUAUAUAUAUAAUAUUUUAAGCACAGAAUUUAUUUAACACUGCACUGGUUAUUUUCAGAAUUUAAUGCUUACUAUGCUUUUAAGCAGGCCUUAUGUAACAUUAGAGCAAAUCCAAUUGCAAUUUUUUUGAGAGCGCUCUGAGGAAUAGUUUAUAUAUUUAUUUUCUGCAGAUCUGUUUUGAUUUUACUGUUUAGCAGCUAUAUGACUAUAUUUCUAAAAUAAAGCUGUCAUUUACAUCCUUA